GACGAACGCUGGCGGCGUGCUUAACACAUGCAAGUCGAACGGAAAGGCCCUGCUUUUGUGGGGUGCUCGAGUGGCGAACGGGUGAGUAACACGUGAGUAACCUGCCCUUGACUUUGGGAUAACUUCAGGAAACUGGGGCUAAUACCGGAUAGGAGCUCCUGCUGCAUGGUGGGGGUUGGAAAGUUUCGGCGGUUGGGGAUGGACUCGCGGCUUAUCAGCUUGUUGGUGGGGUAGUGGCUUACCAAGGCUUUGACGGGUAGCCGGCCUGAGAGGGUGACCGGCCACAUUGUGACUGCGAGACGGCCCAGACUCCUACGGGAGGCAGCAGUGGGGAAUAUUGCACAAUGGGCGGAAGCCUGAUGCAGCAACGCCGCGUGCGGGAUGACGGCCUUCGGGUUGUAAACCGCUUUCGCCUGUGACGAAGCGUGAGUGACGGUAAUGGGUAAAGAAGCACCGGCUAACUACGU
rnacentral:rRNA from 1 species